UUUAAUGAGAGUUUGAUCCUGGCUCAGGACGAACGCUGGCGGCGUGCCUAAUACAUGCAAGUGGAACGCAUUUUAAUCACCGUAGCUUGCUACACCGAUUAAAAUGAGUCGCGAACGGGUGAGUAACGCGUAGGUAACCUACCUUCUAGCGGGGGACAACUAUUGGAAACGAUAGCUAAUACCGCAUAAGACAUUUUAUCGCAUGAUAGGAUGUUAAAAGAUACAACUGUAUCACUAGGAGAUGGACCUGCGUUGUAUUAGCUAGUUGGUGAGGUAACGGCUCACCAAGGCAACGAUACAUAGCCGACCUGAGAGGGUGAUCGGCCACACUGGGACUGAGACACGGCCCAGACUCCUACGGGAGGCAGCAGUAGGGAAUCUUCGGCAAUGGGGGCAACCCUGACCGAGCAACGCCGCGUGAGUGAAGAAGGUUUUCGGAUCGUAAAGCUCUGUUGUAAGCGAAGAACAGUGAUAGGAGUGGAAAGUCUAUCACAUGACGGUAGCUUACCAGAAAGGGACGGCUAACUACGUGCCAGCAGCCGCGGUAAUACGUAGGUCUCGAGCGUUGUCCGGAUUUAUUGGGCGUAAAGCGAGCGCAGGCGGUUAGAUAAGUCAGAAGUUAAAGGCUGUGGCUCAACCAUAGUACGCUUUUGAAACUGUUUAACUUGAGUGCAGAAGGGGAGAGUGGAAUUCCAUGUGUAGCGGUGAAAUGCGUAGAUAUAUGGAGGAACACCGGUGGCGAAAGCGGCUCUCUGGUCUGUCACUGACGCUGAGGCUCGAAAGCGUGGGUAGCGAACAGGAUUAGAUACCCUGGUAGUCCACGCCGUAAACGAUGAGUGCUAGGUGUUAGACCCUUUCCGGGGUUUAGUGCCGUAGCUAACGCAUUAAGCACUCCGCCUGGGGAGUACGACCGCAAGGUUGAAACUCAAAGGAAUUGACGGGGGCCCGCACAAGCGGUGGAGCAUGUGGUUUAAUUCGAAGCAACGCGAAGAACCUUACCAGGUCUUGACAUCCCUCUGACCAGUCUAGAGAUAGACUUUCCCUUCGGGGCAGAGGUGACAGGUGGUGCAUGGUUGUCGUCAGCUCGUGUCGUGAGAUGUUGGGUUAAGUCCCGCAACGAGCGCAACCCUUAUUGUUAGUUGCCAUCAUUAAGUUGGGCACUCUAGCGAGACUGCCGGUAAUAAACCGGAGGAAGGUGGGGAUGACGUCAAAUCAUCAUGCCCCUUAUGACCUGGGCUACACACGUGCUACAAUGGUUGGUACAACGAGUCGCAAGCCGGUGACGGCAAGCUAAUCUCUUAAAGCCAAUCUCAGUUCGGAUUGUAGGCUGCAACUCGCCUACAUGAAGUCGGAAUCGCUAGUAAUCGCGGAUCAGCACGCCGCGGUGAAUACGUUCCCGGGCCUUGUACACACCGCCCGUCACACCACGAGAGUUUGUAACACCCGAAGUCGGUGAGGUAACCUUUUAGGAGCCAGCCGCCGAAGGUGGGAUAGAUGAUUGGGGUGAAGUCGUAACAAGGUAGCCGUAUCGGAAGGUGCGGCUGGAUCACCUCCUUU
rnacentral:rRNA from 1 species